AAAUCAAAGGCAAUAUAUCAGAAAACAUGGCCCAAGUAUCCUGUUCACAACGUUCUGCAUACUGGAGAAAGCUUCGACGCACUACAAAAGACGAUGACGCACAUCAUAGAACACGGUACAUCCGAGGAAGAUGGCACAGUUUACACCAUUAGUAAGAAAUCCACACCGCAUUGUUAUGAAACAGAGUCGCAGAGCAAUGAUGAAGAUGAAGAGGGCAAUGAUGAAGCUGUCGUACGUGAAAAUAUAUCCAAAAAGCGUAAACAUACAAAGAAAUCCAAGAAGAACGAAAAAAAAGAAGGUAAAGCGUCAACGUGAGACGUCUUCAGAUACUGCAGAUGAUACAUCAUCAGUUGAUGAAAAUUCUCCACCAACACACCAUCCCACUUCGAACCCACGACAGAAUUUCAACAUAUCCAAUGCAUCACCUGUUAUCGUUUCUGUAAAUGAGACAGCUCGCCCUUCAGCCCACAGUUUGACAAGCUGAAGCUGCAACUGUAGUUGCAUCCCGAAAUCCACUGAGGCCCAUUGACGAGAAAGCUCUACAAUAUUUGGAACGUAUAAAAUCUUGUGUAGACCAGAAUCAACUCAUGCUGAGGAAAAUCAUAUCGAGGCAGCAAGCAACUAACGUGGACAGCGUACAAAGGCCAGAGGUAUUUCCAACGCUUCCAAUUGAAACAAUGGAAGAAUUUGCGAACCUCGAAGAACUUCUCAAAUCGAAUGAGCAUCGAAUAUACCUGACACAAAAACUAUCCUCUAUUGGAGGCACAAGUGGCCGUCAAUGCGUAUUGGCUGUUCUCAAGUCAUUACUAACAAACGAAUUAGCCAUGCAGUUCAAUUGGGCUGGUAGAGAUAAAAUUGCUUUCCAAAAGACACUGGUGAUGCAAGUUAUUUACGAUGCUGUUAAAGCUACUUUCCAUGGUAAGGAAUUAGUAAGCGAUAUCAAGGAAGCGAAUAUUGCAGCUGCAGUUAAAGAUUGGUUGAAACUCGCUCGAUCGCGAUACUCCUACGUACCUAAAAGACGCCUUCAAUAGUAUCUGUGUUCUCUUUCGAAAUAAUGUGUCAAUACUUUUUCUAACUCACUCUGCCAGGAUUGUGAUUUUUUUUCAAGUCCCAAGAGAAAGCUAACGAUUUUCCUCAUUGAGGUGUAUCCACUGUAUAAUUAGUUUGUUUUAUGUUUCAUUCGUUGUCAAACCACUCGUAUCCGAUACAAGUUUUUGUUUGUUUAGAUUUACUUAAGUUUACUGUAUGUUGUACUUCUAUACUCAAGUCCGGAGUAGAUGAAAGAUAACGAUUUUCCUCAUUGAGGUACAAUCAUUGUAUGAUUAUUUUGUUUCAUGUUUUAUUUGUUAUCAAAGUACUCGUAUCGGAUACAAGUUUUUGUUUGUUUAUAUUUACGUAAGUUUACUAUUUGCUAUAGCUACUAUACUCUUGUGAGUAUAUCUAUGCAAUGUAAGUAUACGUAUUUGUAAAAGACUGUGUGUAUAUUACAUCCCUGUCAACUUUGACGGAUUAGCAGUGAUAUCGAGGAAGUGAAUGCUCCAGCUGCGGUCGAAUAAUAAUUAAAACUUAUGCGUACUGCGUACCUAGACAACGCUUUCUAUAGCGUCUGUGUUCUUUUUUAAAAUAAUGUGCCAAUACUUUUUAUUAUUUUACUUUGUCAGGAUUGUGAUUUUUUACCUAGUCCCGAGAUGAAAGCUAACGAUUUUCCUCAUUGAGGUGUAACCAUUGUAUAAUUAUGUUGUUUUGUGUUAUAUUCGUUGUCAAACCACUCGUAUCCUAUACAAGUUUUUGUGUAUUUAGAUUUACUAAUACUACUGUACUGUUGAUUGUAUGUUGUACUUCUAUACUCAAGUCCGGAGUAGAUGAAAGAUAACGAUUUUCCUUAUUGAGGUAUAAUCAUUGUAUGAUUAUUUUGUUUCAUGUUUCAUUUGUUAUCAAACUACUUGUAUCGGAUACGAGUUUUUGUUUAUUUAUAUAUACUCAAGUUUACUAUUCAAUUGCUAUAGCUACUAUACUCUUGUGAGUAUAUCUAUGCAAUGUAGGUAUUUGUAAAAGACUGUGUAUAUAUUACAUCCCAGUCAAGUUUCACGGAUUAGCAGUGAUAUCAGGAAAGUUAAUACUCCAACUGCGGUCCAAUAUUGGUUAAAACUUGCGUACUGCGUACCUAGAAGACGCCCUCUAUAGCAUCUGUGUUCUGUGUUGAAAUAAUGUGCCAAUACUUUUUAUUAUUUUACUUUGUCAGGAUUGUGAUUUUUUACCUAGUCCCGAGAUGAAAGUUAACAAUUUUCCUCGUUAGGGUAUAAUCAUUGUAUGAUUAUUUUGUUUCAUGUUUUAUUUGUUAUCAAACCUCUUGUAUCGGAUAUAAUUUUUGUUUGUUCAUGUUUACUUAAUUUUACUAUUUGCUAUACUUCUAUACUCUUGUGAGUACAUCUGUACGAUUGAGGUAUGCGUAUAUGUAAAAGACUGUAUGUUUAUUUAUACAUCCCAGUCAACAUUCACACAGUUACAUCAUUGGCAUAAUAAAAUGUCCGCAUCAACGAUACAGACAAACUGGUAUAUAAAAAACUACUGUUAUGUUUCGGAUACAUUGUUAAAGCGGAUAUUUCGAUA
rnacentral:misc_RNA from 1 species